UACGGAGGGUGCGAGCGUUGUCCGGAAUCAUUGGGCGUAAAGGGCGCGUAGGUGGCCCGGUCAGUCUUUGGUGAAAGCGCGGGGCUCAACCCUGCGUCGGCCAGGGAUACUGCCGCGGCUCGAGCACUGUAGAGGCAGGCGGAAUUCCGGGUGUAGCGGUGGAAUGCGUAGAGAUCCGGAAGAACACCCGUGGCGAAGGCGGCUCUCUGGGACGGUACUGACGCUGAGACGCGAAAGCGUGGGGUAGCAAACAGG
rnacentral:rRNA from 1 species